CUUGUCUGAUGCUGUUCUGUGGAAUCCACAUCUGACAAUGGAAGCAUGCUACAAAGACUUCGUCUGCGUUGAAAAUGCCAAGAUUGGAGAAGUUCAUCUAGAUCCUGAAGUUUCUUGGACUGCGACUCAACAUCUAAGCACUGCAUGAAGUGUUCACGUG